rnacentral:tRNA from 1 species
GCGGGUGUAGCUCUAUGGUAGAGCAUAAGCCUUUCAAGCUUGCGACGAGGGUUCGAUUCCCUUCACCAGCU